UACGGAGGAUCCAAGCGUUAUCCGGAUUUAUUGGGUUUAAAGGGUGCGUAGGCUACUCGUUAAGUUAGAGGUGAAAUCCCGGUGCUCAACACCGGAACUGCCUCUGAUACUGGCGGGCUAGAGUAUAGUUGCUGUGGGCGGAAUGUGUGGUGUAGCGGUGAAAUGCUUAGAGAUCACACAGAACACCGAUUGCGAAGGCAGCUCACAAAGCUAUUACUGACGCUGAUGCACGAAAGCGUGGGGAGCAAACAGG
rnacentral:rRNA from 1 species